rnacentral:rRNA from 1 species
GUUAAAGGUACCCGUACCGCAAACCGACACAGGUGGGUGAGGAGAGUAUCCUAAGGCCAGCGAGAGAACUGUUGUUAAGGAACUCGGCAAAAUGACCCCGUAACUUAGGGAUAAGGGGUGCCACCAUCAGGUGGCCGCAGAGAAUAGGCCCAAGCGACUGUUUACCAAAAACAUAGGUUUCUGCUAAGUCGCAAGACGAUGUAUAGGAGCUGACGCCUGCCCGGUGCUGGAAGGUUAAGGGGAUCUGUUAGAGUAAUCGAAGCAGUGAACUUAAGCCCCAGUAAACGGCGGCCGUAACUAUAACGGUCCUAAGGUAGCGAAAUUCCUUGUCGGGUAAGUUCCGACCCGCACGAAAGGCGUAACGAUUUGGGCACUGUCUCAACAACAGACUCGGUGAAAUUGUAAUUCCGGUGAAGAUGCCGGAUACCUGCGACAGGACGGAAAGACCCCAUGGAGCUUUACUGUAGCUUGACAUUGGGUC